GUCAUAAGCUCUUAACUCGCAACAUUAACAACAACAACAACACUUAAAACAUCCCAAGGUUAUCAGAGCAACUACUAGGAAAGAAGAAAAUACAUAGGUAGGUUAACUAGUAACCUAUGAGAGAAAACUGAAUGAGGUGGGAAAUAUGACUCGCCUCCUACCCUCGCCGAACAGAACUCUGCAGACUGGGCAUUUAAAACGAAAGGCCCAGGGGAAAGCAUUUAAAAUGUUAGAGUGAGUGGACAAAAUAAAUAAUAAAAAUACGGACUUAAUGAUAGAGCAUUGAACUCAAUUUAACGCUUUUCCCAUAUUUUCCAUUGAGAAAAUAUUUAUUUUAUGCAUGCCAUUCUUGGAAAUCUUUCCGAAAAUAAUUAUAGACAAAACUAAUGAACCAAUCCCAUUGGUUCCCAAUAAAUCAAUAAAAAUAGGGAAAAUGUUUCACCAUAACAAUGAGCCUCCCAGGCUAUAAUAGCGUCCCACGCUAAGCGCUCUACUCACAUAUGAUGAGGACCGCUUAAAAAGUUAUAAUAGCGUCCUACGCUAAGCGCUCAACUCUCAUAUGAUGAGGACCGCUAAAUAAUGGCUAGCUAACAAUAAAUAUAUAUAUAUAUACCGAUCGGUUCCCUCCCAGGCUAUAAUAGCGUCCCACGCUAAGCGCUCUACUCACAUAUGAUGAGAACCGCUAAUAAGACUAUAAUAGCGACUCACAUAUGAUGAGGACCGCUAAUAAGGUUAGCUAGCAAUAAUAUAUAUAUCAACCCUUUUAUGGUGAAGUACAAUAUUAAAAUACAAAGAUCCACACUUCCCCAAAUAAAUUAUAAUAAACUCAUAGCGCACAGUACAGUUCCCAACUGUACAUGGAAAUAAUAUAAAACACUUGACACGUCCCACGUGUCAACUAAAAUUAGCAAGAGAGUUCCGGAAAAAAAAUAAGUGGAACUCGAUAAUCCAACAAAUUAUUAUAUCUCCAAAUGUCUUUGAAAUUAAAUAACUUUAGCGCAUGCAUGAUAUUAAAAUCAAAGGUCCACUCACCGUGCUAGGCUAUGCUUGCCGACGGCCCGAGGCUUCCUCCAAAUGAUCCUCCUCACGUCCUGAACAAUAAAUAAUCAUUAAGCCUCCAAACCAGGACAAAACUUUAAUAAAAUUCCCGAAAUAAAAAGGAAGCCUAUAAUUUCAUUUCUCUUGCCCAACUUCUCCACAUUUUACCUAAUAAGGUUCACAUUACUCCGCACUUACCGAAAGCCAUAAUUUAACCUUUUUUAGACUUUAAAACCUGCUAAACCAACUGCCGGAUUUCCAUUCGAAUAACCGCCUAAAUCCUUAAUCAUAGAUAAAUCCUAAACCUUAUCAAAUCUCCUCCAAAACUUCCAAACUAUACUUCAUUAAACUCCUCUCAUUAAAACAAACCCAAAAAGCAUGAAAAACUGCCCCUAAGGGGCGGCGGCGGCGGCGGCCGGCAGCCGUUUUCCGGCGACCUCCAAUGCUUCUCAAAUUUUCACAGAAUAUUCCUCUCAUCAUGCUCAACAACAUUCAUAACUAGCACUUAGUCCAUGUCUAAGGCUAACUAGGGCCAAUGAAUCAAAACUUCCAUAAAUCCCUAAAAACUUCAAUUAUACAUUUCUACCAUAAUAACAACGAAAUAGAUUAAUCCUUUUGAGGGAAUACUCACCUUGAUGAGGGCUACAAGAUGAGCCAAAGAUUCCGACCUAUGGUGGCCGGAGGUAGGAUUUCUGGCAAAAAGCUUCCCGGCGUCUCCGGCGAGUUUUCUCCUCUUCCGGCGGGCUAACGACUCGGGGGCUAGGCCGGGGAGAGAGAGGAGGUGAUGGGGGUCAAAACUGGGGUGGGCUGGCAGCUGGUGGCUGGCCGGAGGGUGGCAGACCACGCUGGAAAAGUCCAGCAGAAAAGAGAGCUAGGGAACUCACGGGAGAAAAGAGAGAGAAGGAAGAGGAGAAGAAAGAAAAUGAGGGGGGGUCUUGGGCUGCUCCUCAGCUGGCCCAGCAAUAACCCAACUGAAAAAAAUUUACACCCACUACAUUUUUUUUACCACAUUUUUACCAUCUCCAAAAAUUACUCUUUUAAAUCAUAACUUUUUCAUGCUAAUUCCGAUUUUAACACAUAGCAUGUCUACGAACUCGUAAUAACGUCCUCUACGACUUUUAUGAAGAAAGUUUUCCCAAAUUCCAAACACAAGAAAAAGACAACUCUAGGGUCCUUAAGUGAUAAACGGUUACUUAACACGGUAAAAGACCAAAAUAAUACCAAAGUAAAUAACCGUAAAAUAACUUAAGAACCGGGGUGUGACAAUUCUCCCUUCCUUAUAAAAAUUUCGUCCUCGAAAUUUACAUACCUGUCAAUCAAAGAGAUAAGGAUACUGCUGCCUCAUUAACUCCUCCGGUUCCCAAGUGGCUUCCUCUAUUUGAUGACUCCUCCACAAAACUUUAACCAAUGGAAUCGUUUUGUUCCUAAGCACUUGCUCCUUUCGAUCAAGAAUCUGAACCGGUUCCUCUACAUAUGACAAAUCUUUCUUCAACUAUCGUUGCUCUUACAAGACAUGAGAGGGAUCNNNNNNNNNNNNNNNNNNNNAAAUACAUACGAAUAUAUGUUUAUAUAUAGUUUAGCCUGAGAGGCUCCAUUUUAUUUGAGUUGGUGACUAGCCGGAGCUAGUCGUGAAAUUGCCAGUUUAUGAGUUGAGCGCUUUUGAGCUGGCGCAUGCAGUAUUUUUCUUUGGAAAUUAAAAUGGGGAAGCAUAAAUAUUUUUAUUAAUUUAUUUUUGUCCACUCACUCUAACGUUGUUAAGUGUUUUGCCCUGGGCCUUUCGUUUUAAAAAUGCCCAGCUUGCAGGUUAGCUUAGUUGAGGUCGGGCGUACAUGGAGAUGAGGCGUAAUCAUUAUAUAGCUUCCGCUUGUUAAUUUAUUUUGUUUCCUUUCUUCAUGUUAGAGUUGCUUUGAACCUAUAAAUGGUUGGAUAUGAGAUUUGUUUAGAUUAGUAAAUUUUGGGUGGUGUUGUGAUUUGGGGAGCACGAAGCUCUAGGAGUAGAGGAUUAUAAAUGGAUUCUUUUGAAGUGUAUGCAGGUAUUAUUAGGAAGGGUUGUCCAUUUUCAAGGGAGGUUAUGCUGAUUUUUCGGUAAAUUUUCCUUGGAGGUGGUCCCCAUAGGAUUUACUUCAGGUUUCAGGGUGAAAUUCGGGGUGGAUUCUCACAACCAUAGCUUGUGAUUUUUAGCUCAUCUUGUAGCUCUCAUCAUGGUUAGUGAUUCCUCAAAAGGAAUCGACAUAAUUCGAUCUUGGUAAGGAGAGAUGUUUAAUUGAAGUUCUAGAGAUUUAUGGAUGUUUUGGUUCGAUUACCCUAGUUAGCCUUAGAAUUAGACUAGGUGCUAGUUAUAAAAGUUGUUGUGCAUGAUGAGAGGAUUAUUCUGUUAAUAUUUGAGAGGCAAUGGUCAUCGCCGGAGUUCGGUUGCCGACCGCCGCUGCAGGCGGAGAAGGCUGCCGGCGCUGCCGCUUAGAGGUUGUUUUGCAUGUUUUCGGGUUUGUUAUAAUGAGAGGAGUUUAAUGAAGUAUAGUUUGGAAUUUUUAGAGGAGUUUUGAUAAGGUUUGGGAUUUAUCAAUGAUUAAGUAUUUAGGCUGUUGUUUGAAUAGAAAUCUGACAGUUGGUUUAGCAGGAUUUAAACUUCAAAAAGGUUAAUUUUUGGCUAUCGGUAAGUGUGGAGUAGUGUGAGCCUUAUUAGAUUAAAAAUGGAGAAGUUGGGCAAAAGAGAUGAAAUUAUAGGCUUCCUUUUAUUUCGAAAUAUUAUAAAAACAUUAUCCUAGUCUGGAAGCUUAAUAAUUAUUUAAUGUUCAGGACGUGAGGAGAAUCAUUUGGAGGAAGCCUCGGGUCGUCGGCAAACAUAGCCGAGCACUGUAAGUGGACCUUUGAUUUGAAUGCCAUGCAUGCAUUAAAGUUUAUUUAAUUUUCAAAGGCAUUUUGGAGAUUUAUUAUUUUCUGGGAUUAAUGAGUUCCAUUUAUUUUUCGGGAACUCUCUUGAGCAUUUUAUUUGACAUGUGGGACAUGUCAAGUGAUUUAUAUUAUUACGCAAUAUUUCUAGGUACAGUUGGGGACUGUACUAAGCUCAAUGGAUUUUAUAUUAUUUUUGGGGAAGUGAUAUUUUUGAUCAUUUAUUAUUAUACUUCACCAUAAAACGGUUGAUUUAUAUUGAUUAUUGCUAGCUAACCUUAUUAGCAAUCCUCAUCAUAUGUGAGUCGCUAUUGUAGCCUUAUUAGCGGUUUUCUUCAUAUGUGAGUAGAGCGCAUAGCGUGAGACGCUAUUAUAGCCUGGGAGGCAACCGAUCGGUAUUUAUAUUUAUAUGUUAGCUAGCCAUUAUUAGCGACUACUCACCAUAGGUGAGUAAAGCGCUUAGCGUGAGAUGCUAUUAUAGCCUAGGAGGCUCCGACCUUAGCUUGGGAGGCUCAUCGUUAUGGUGAAACCUCUUCCCCAUUUUUAUUGAUUUAUUGGGAACCAAUGGGAUUGGUUCAUUCUUUUGUCUCUAUAUAUUUUCGGAAAAAUUUCCAUGUCAGGACCUACCCCGGAUUUCCCCUUGAAAUCCGGAAUAAACUCUGCGGGACCCACCUCAAGGGAAAUUCUACCAAAAUUUUGGCAUAACUUUUUUGAAAAUGAGUAACCCUGCCUAGAAGAAAAAAAUCACCAAAAAAAUUACUCUUUUAAAUCAUAACUUUUUCAUGCUAAUUCCGAUUUUAACACAUAGCAUGUCUACGAACUCGUAAUAACGUCCUCUACGACUUUUAUGAAGAAAGUUUUCCCAAAUUCCAAACACAAGAAAAAGUCAACUCUAGGGUCCUUAAGUGAUAAACGGUUACUUAACACGGUAAAAGACCAAAAUAAUACCAAAGUAAAUAACCGUAAAAUAACUUAAGAACCGGGGUGUGACAAUUCUCCCCUCCUUAUAAAAAUUUCGUCCUCGAAAUUUACAUACCUGUCAAUCAAAGAGAUAAGGAUACUGCUGCCUCAUUAACUCCUCCGGUUCCCAAGUGACUUCCUCUAUUUGAUGACUCCUCCACAAAACUUUAACCAAUGGAAUCGUUUUGUUCCUAAGCACUUACUCCUUUCGAUCAAGAAUCUGAACCGGUUCCUCUACAUAUGACAAAUCUUUCUUCAAACUUAUCGGCUGCUCUUGUAAGACAUGAGAGGGAUCGGCAAUAUACUUGCGUAGCAUGGAUACAUGGAAAACAUUAUGUAUCCGGGACAGCUCUGAAGGUAGCUCCAAUCGAUAAGCAACUGUGCCAACCCGCUCUACAAUCUCAUAAGGACCAAUAUACCGUGGGCUAAGCUUUCCCCGUUUACCAAAACGCACUACUCCCUUCCAAGGGGAUAAUUUCAAAAAUACCCAAUCACCCACUUGAAACUCAAGGUCCUUUCUGCGAUUAUCUGCAUAACUCUUCUGCCUAUUUUGAGCUGCUUUAAGCCUUUCUCUAAUCAUCUUGAUCUUCUCAUUCGUAUCCUGAAUAAUCUCUGGACCACAAAAUUCUUUUUCUCCCACCUCAUUCCAACAUAGAGGUGUACGACACUGCCGCCCAUAAAGCGCUUCAAAGGGAGUCAUACCUAUGUUAGAAUGAAAACUAUUGUUGUAGGCAAAUUCUACCAAGGACAAAUUCUUAUCCCAACUCCCUCUGAAUUGCAUAGCACAUGACCUCAACAUGUCCUCCAUGGUCUGAAUAGUCCUCUCAGACUGCCCGUCUGUUUGUGGAUGAAAAGCUGUGCUGAAGUGCAACCGAGUGCCCAAAGCUGCCUGCAAAGCUCCCCAGAAUUUAGAAACAAAUCUGGGAUCCCGAUCAGAAACAAUAGACUCAGGCACACCAUGGAGUCUCACAAUUUCAUUCACAUAAAGUUCUGCCAAUUUAGCCAACUUAUACUUCUUCCCCACUGGCAGAAAAUGUGCUGACUUGUUAAUCGAUCCACAAUCACCCAAAUACCAUCAUGCCCAUCACGUGUACGAGGUAAGCUAAAAACAAAAUCCAUGGCAAUGUGGUUCCACUUCCAUAUAGGAAUAGGCAAUGGCUCUAGCAGACCAGAAGGUUUCUGUCUCUCAGCUUUGACUUGCUGACAAAUCAAACACUUACUUACAUAAGCGGCAAUCUCCCUUUUCAUAUUGGGCCACCAAUAAAAAUCCUUUAAGGUCCUGUACAUUUUUGUACUACCAGGAUGAGCAGCAUAAGCAGAACUAUGAGCUUCCUCCAUUAUCUCCUGUUUCAACUCUAUGUUCCUCUUCGGAACACAUAGCCUAUUUUUAAACAACAAGGCUCCAUCUCUCCUCACAGAAAAAUCCCUUGCCAUUCCAUUAAGUGCUCUUUCUAUCAACCGAACUAUGGAAGGAUCAUUAUACUGAGCCUCAUGCACUUUAUCAAUCAAAACUGGCCUCACAUGGAAACUGGCUACCAAAGCACCAAUCUCAUCCACUGACAACUCCACUCUUGUAGCUCGCAACUCAUAAAGAAGUGGAACCCGAACCGUCCUCAUAUAAGCUAAGGACAUAGAAGGGUUGCGACUAAGAGCAUCCGCUACUACAUUAGCUUUUCCAGGAUGAUACUCAAUAGUGCAAUCAGAAUCUUUAAUCAACUCCAUCCACCUUCUUUGCCUCAUAUUUAAUUCUCUCUGAGUGAACACAUACCGAAGGCUCUUAUGGUCGGUGAAGAUCUGGCACUUGGCUCCAUAGAGAUAAUGUCUCCAUAAUUUCAACGCAAGAACCACUACAGCAAGCUCUAGGUCGUGGGUGGGGUAAUUCCCUUCAUGCGGCUUCAGUUGCCUAGAAGCAUAAGCAAUUACUCUUUCAUGCUGCAUCAAUACACCACCCAAACCCUGCCUAGAAGCAUCGCAAUAAACCACAUACUCCCCACUAUCAUCAGGGAGUGCUAGAACUGGAGCACUAGUUAAACGAUCCUUGAGCUCCUGAAAGCUCUGCUCACACUUCUCGGACCACUCGAACUUAACCCCCUUCCGGGUCAAUCUUGUAAGAGGAGCGGCAAUCUUUGAGAAAUCUUGGACAAAACGGCGAUAAUAACCGGCCAACCCCAAGAAACUACGGAUCUCCGUCACGCUAGAAGGCCUCUUCCAAUUUGUCACCGCUUCUAUCUUUUGGGGAUCCACACUAACACCUUCUGCCAAAACCAUAUGGCCUAGAAACCCCACUUUAUCUAACCAAAACUCACAUUUACUAAGCUUUGCAUAUAACUGAGCUUCCCUCAAAGUCUGCAAUACCAUCUUUAAAUGCUUAGCAUGCUGCUUCAAAUUCUUCGAAUACACCAAGAUGUCAUCUAUGAAUACAAUCACGAAAUGGUCAAGAUAUGGACGGAACACCCUAUUCAUGAGAUCCAUGAAAGCAGCGGGUGCAUUAGUAAGUCCAAACGGAAUCACCACAAACUCAUAAUGACCAUAACGUGAUCGAAAAGCAGUCUUGGCUAUAUCACUUUCCCGAAUCCGCAACUGAUGAUAUCUUGAUCUCAAAUCAAUCUUUGAAAAGACUGUGGCACCCCUCAACUGAUCGAAUAAAUCAUCAAUGCGGGGCAAAGGAUAUUUAUUCUUCACCGUAACCUGGUUCAACUUCCUAUAAUCCACACAUAGCCUCAUGGUGCCAUCUUUCUUCUUGACAAAUAACACUGGAGCACCCCAAGGACACAUACUAGGCUGAAUAAAACCUUUAUCCACCAACUCCUGCAAUUGAGUUUUUAACUCUUUUAAUUCUGCAGGUGCCAUCCUAUAAGGCGCUUGAGAAAUAGGAGUCGUUCCAGGAAGUAGCUCAAUUGUAAAAUCUAUCUCCCUUACAGGAGGCAAACCAGGCAACUCAUCUGGAAAAACAUCAGGGAACUCAUUAACUAUAGCAUGUCUACGAACUCGUAAUAACGUCCUCUACGACUUUUAUGAAGAAAGUUUUCCCAAAUUCCAAACACAAGAAAAAGUCAACUCUAGGGUCCUUAAGUGAUAAACGGUUACUUAACACGGUAAAAGACCAAAAUAAUACCAAAGUAAAUAACCGUAAAAUAACUUAAGAACCGGGGUGUGACAUUCCAAGAGUGGCAUGCAUAAAUAUUUUUCUCAAUGGAAAAUAUGGGAAAAGCAUUAAUUUUGAUUUUAAGGCUCUAUCAUUAAGUCAGUAUUUUUUUAUUUAUUUUUUUCCACUCAUGCUAACGUUUUAAAUGCUUCUCCCAUGAGCCUUUUGUUUUGAAAUGCCCAGUCUACAGAGUUCGGUCAGGCGUGUAGGAGGCGAGUCAUAUUUUCCAUCACUUCCAGUUUUCAUUCGUAGGUUACCUGUUUAACCUACUUGUGUAUUUUCUGGUUUCCUAGUAGUUUCUCUGAUAACCAUGGGAUGUCUUAAAUGAAUUUAUGUUGAUGUGUGUUAAGAGCUUAUGACUCCACUGAGUGAUGGAAAAGAUUAAUUCAUUUGGUUUGUUUGUAUGAGAACUUAAAUUCAUAAAAUUAUUUUGAAUUUUUACUUCUGUUGAGGUGGGGGAUGUUUAUUUGGGGAGCGGGUGGCUCCAGGAGAUGUGGAUUAAAUUGUUUUAGAAGUGUUUGGGUUUAUGGUGAUUUUCUUUCAGGUAGGGUCACUCAAUUUUAAGGGAGGUUAUGCCAAAAUUUUAAUAGAAUUUCCCUUGAGGUGGGUCCCGCAGGGUUUAUUCCGGAUUUCAAGGGGAAAUUCGGAGUAGGUCCUGACAAAAAUCCGGCCGGAAAUCGGGAAAAACGAAACGGGCAGAUUAGGGUUUCGAGAAAAGUUUAGGUUUUCGAAGGUUUUAAGGUUUUUCAGGAUGGUUGGUCUAUUAUCUCAUGGUUAGGGCACCAAGUGCUGAUAACAUGAUGAAGAGUAUGUGAAUACGAGAAUAAAUGUCUAUUCAUCUCAUUGAUAUCAUGGCCUUUAUAUAGGCAUUACAUAGAGAAUCCCUGUAAAUCAGGGUUUGAUAUCUAGCAAAUAUUCUAGUCUAAUAAGGAGAAUAUUUGGUCAAGACACAUCAUCAAUGAUAGGAAUGUAAAUUCCUUCAACAAUAUAUAUAUAUAUAUAGUGGCUUUUGCUUCCUUAUUUUUGAAUUAAAUUUUAGUCAAAUUAGCUAAUAUGUCAUUUUGGCUAGCCAUUUUAGAAAUACAUCUACAUCAAUGCUCUCUAUUUUACCCAUAUAUAUGUAUGUGGCUUUUGCUUCCCUAUUUUUGAGUUAAAUUUUAUGUCAUUUUGGCUAGCCAUUUUAAAAAUAGGUCUACAUCAAUACUCUCUAUUUAAUCCAGCAUUACAUUAAUAUUAUUCUUCAAAUAAAGAUUAAAUAAUUUAAAUGUAUUUAUAUAAUACGUAAAAUAUUUUAAAAGGAAUGUAUUAAAUUAUAGCUUUCAUCAUCUGAGUCAUCUCGCUUUUUAUAUUUGGCUAGUGAGAUAGCUAAAAGUUAUAAUAUCUAUGCUUUGGCUAGUCUGCUGGCCGGAGCUCUUACAAUAUGUAAAUGGCCAGAGCUCUUAAAAUACGUAAAAAAACUAAACACGCUCCCUAAAAUAGUUAAAAGCCAAAAUAAAGAGUCUGCUAAAGAUGUUCUAAUGCAAAAUAAUAAUACCUAGCCAAAUUCCAAAACUCUCAAGGUGUUCUAGGAUAUUCCACAUGUUUGCCUUGGCCUUAUGCUAUCAGGAUAUGUAGUUUGAAUAGGACUAUGUAUUCUUUAUCAUUACCAUAUUGGUACUUUGUAAUUCCCUAUAUAAAGGGCUCAUAUCAAUGAAUAAGAUGAUGAUUCUCUAUUCUCUUACUAGAUCUCUUUGUCUUUACACUUUAUACUUCAUCACGUUAUCAUGCGCUUUGUUCUAACCCUAGAGCCAAUAACCCACCAUUUGUUUUUCGAAACCUUAAAAAAAGCGUUUUUCGGCUCCUAUGUCCGACCGCCACCGCCCGCCUAUUUUCCAGGCCACCAUCCGACAUCACCGGCUCCCAAUCCCUUGGCCGUUGCCCGCCGGCGAUUUUUGGUUUCCUCCGAGUACAAUUUUCGACUUCUUCAAGUGUUUGAAGUUUCAAAAUUUAUGUUUUGAAACCUUAAACUUUUCCAAGUUCUGUCGACACCCACCCCAAAUUUUACCCUAAAACUCGAAGUAAGUCCUACGGGGACCAUCUCCAAGGAAAAUUUUACCGAAAAAUCGGCAUAACCUCCCUUGAAAUAUGGACAACCCUUCCUAAUAAAAACUUGCAAACACUUCUAAAAAAUCCAAAUCCAAAUCCAAAUCCAAAUCCAAAUCCAAAUCCAACCUUAUACUUUUGGAGCCUUCGUGCUCCCCAAAUACGACCACCACCAAAAUGAUAAUAACAACAACUUCCAAAUCAACACAUAAAUAUCCAACUAAUAACAUACAUCAUCCUUUGGAUAUCUCCCAAAAUAAUAAACAAAGACUUAGCACACAACCAAACUAUUAUACAAUAAUCUCAAGGUAAUCAGAGCUACUAACACUAGCGGAAGCAAGAAAAUACUCUGGUAGGUUAAGCAGGUAACCUACUGGUGAAAAAUGGAAGAGAUGUGGGUGACUAUGCCUCGCCUCCUACUAGAACCAACCCGAACUCUACAGACUGGACAUUUUAAAACGAAGGGCCCAGGAGAAAACAUUUGAAACCAUUAGAGUGAGUGGACAAAAAUAAAUUAAUAAAUAAAUAUUUAUGCAUUCCCAUUUUAAUUUUCAUAGAAAUUAUGUUGCAUGCGACAGCUCAAAACUUUUUACUCACAAACUGGCAAAUACAUGACUAGCGCCGGCCAGUCUCCAAAACUCAAUAAAAUGGAGCCUCUCAGGCUAAACUAUAUAUAAAUAUAUAUGUGUAUGUAUUUACACUCGUCAGACUCCUUGUACGAAUUCUAUGAACAAAAUAGAAAAAUAGAAAUUCAUACAAGGCUACGACGCUUGCGUCUAACGCUCACGUCGCGCCAUCAUGGAAUUUUUCCUCAUUAUGACCGAAGAGGACGGGUGUAUAUACAUGUGGACUCCCUAAAUGAAAACCUAUAUGAACAAAAUAAGAAAGUAGUUUUCACACAGGGCUACGACGUUUGUGUCUAACACUCACGUCGCGCCAUAAUGAAAUUUUACCUCAUUAUGAUGGACCAAGCACGUAUGGCUAGCUAGCAUUUGUAUACAUACUAUCCUCAUAAACAUCCAAUAUACAUAUCCACUGAAAAUCUCAUUUUUUCGGUAACUCUCCAAAAGAUGAAAAUUUCCAAAUAUCAGAGAAAACAAUAAAUUUCAGUAGAAGAAUAACUAAUCAACAAUAUAAUGCAUCACAUGCUUUUCAUUAAAACAAAAGUCCACUCACAAAAUAGGCCUAAGCCUGAUGUCGAUCCGAGGCCUCUUCUGCUCGAGCCUUCUCACGUCUUGUUCCAAAUGUAUAAUUAAAUUCCCAACAGAAAUUCCAAUAUUUACACAAAAUAGGCAAAAUUAAAUGUGAGCCUUAACCACGCUCAUCAUUGCCUAACUUCGAAAUUUCUAAUUCAAAACGUUCCAAACUUCAAUACCAUAAUCGGCAACCUUAUUACAACCUUCCACAGAUUAAACAAUUUUAAUCCAACAGCCAGAUUCUAUCCUAAUUAACCACCAAAAUACCAAACUUUGAAAAAUCUCAAACCUAACUAAAACUCUUCCAAAAAUUCCAAACUUCACAUCAUUAAAACCAUAAAAAUCCCCUAAACAACGGUGGGCGGAGGCCGACUCCGGUGACCUCCAAUGUCUACCAAAUUUUAACAGCAUCUUCCUCUCAACUUACUCUACAACUUUCCUAACUAGCACAAACACCAAUUCCAAGCCUAAUUAGGCCAAUCGAACGAAAACAAUCUAAAAAAACCCUAGAACUUCCAACACUCGAAUCUCUUUACCUAGGCGAAGAGAGAGCGAAUCCUUUUGAGGGAUUGAUGCACGGGAGGAGAGCUUCUAAAAGAGCCAAGCAGCUCCAGCUAUGGCGGCCGGAGGAGGGAGCUCCGACGAGAGAAUCACCACGACAGUCGGACGUUACGGGCGAGCUAACUCCCUCACGGCGGAGCUAGGGCGGCUCCCACUGGUCUAGGAAGAACGCUAGGUCGAGGGCCGACUGAUUGGGACUGGUGCAGCAGUCUACGGUGGCCGGACGACAACGGACGAGCUCGAGAAGUGUCCGGCAGAGAGAGGGCUCGGGAGGAAAGAGAGAGAAAAAAGAAGAGAAGAAAAGAGAAGGAAGGAAUUGGGCCCAACCGGUCCCCUUAACCCAAUUAAAUACCAACCCAACUCCAAAAAUAACACCACAAAAUAAUACCCUAAUAAAAAUUACCUUUUACUAGCUAAAAUUUACCAUUUUUACCGUCGUCACAUUUUUCUUCUACGAAUAAUUUCUCCGAAAUAAUCGUCCCUCAAAACCGCUCUAGGGACCAUUUAAACUAAAACUCGUUGACAAAGACAGUAAAACUCUUGUUAAUACCAAGUUAGUAAAUAAGAUAAAAAUUUAAGAGUUGGGAUGUGACAAAUUCAAUAACUCGGGGAAGAUAAAAUUCUUUCCUCCGUUUUCCAUCUCCAUUCUAUGCUUGGGAUUUUGUGCGUGCACGUAAAAAUCCCGAAAUUUUAUUCGCAGGUAAAGAAUAUGUUUGAUCACUCUUGUUUCUUUGUCCGGGUUGUGUGUGAUCAACCCCGAUCUUUUUCCGGAUUGUGUGUGAUCAAUCCGUAGGACAAACCAUUAAAAGCAUCGUUUGUGACCUAUAUCGAGUCUCAUAACUGCUUGGUUUUGUAUGCAAGAGCAAUGUAACAUUCUGCUCAUUUGAGUUUUGACAUACUUAAUGUUUAAGGCGAAUCUUCGUUACGUAUCUGUGGAACCCUCAUUGGAAUAGAUUAAACCACAUCUCUCGCGCUCAAAGUUUUGAGGUGCCACAUCGACAUGCAACAGCCUUCAACGGUAAUCUGUGCAAAAAGUAAUGACCACAAAGUACUGUGGAAUGCACUUAUGGAGCGUUUCUUGAAACAUCCAUCUAACUCAACUUGUUGAGUUAUUAAGUCAAGUGGAUUGCUUACCACCUUAAUUGACUACAUAUCGUCGAUGAUAUUCUGUGGCAUCCUGAUCCAUAAUCUAUAGUGGAUUCGAUCAUCAUCAAGUUCUCUAGGCCCUCCAAGUUGGUUUGGAAUUACCAACGAGACUUGAUUUUGAUCAUACAAUUGCAAACGGGAAUUGUAUAUACGCUAAUGCGAUAAACGUAUAUGGGAUUGUCCCCUAAUAUGGGGACAACAAUAUGGGUCACGACAACGGCGGAAAAUGCCGUGCCGAUGUCCAGAAAAGAGGGGGGAGGUGUCGCCGGCCCUAAUGGCGACACUCCCGGUUUAGACACCAAUCUGUUAAAACAAUUCAUGCUAGCUCAUGACAAUGCAACCACUGUGGAUCUCCGGAUCACUGGUUCAAGAUUGUCAAAUUCAUCCUUAAAUCGUGAAUGCAUACAAAAAGGUACGGAAAAUCAAUAUGAGGACAAAAACGUCAUCCUCAUGAUCGCGGAUUUCAAAGAUUCGGAUCCUGCUCUGGCUACCCAUGAUUUUGACAUCAUUGGCUAGACAUUGAUUUUCUUUCCGAGCUAUAUGUAAUAAGACGUCGUAUCGAUGUUCUUUGUUUAUUCGAGACUAGCCACACUAGUGACCAACACUUUAACGAAGCUAGUAAAUAAGGUAAAAAUUUAAGGGUCGGGAUGUGACACUACAAGUAUUACACUAAUGUACAUGAGGACGUGGGAUAAUGAGUCUACUAUCGAACCACCCUUCGUUGAUGGAUAUCAACUUAGUUGAUUAGCCUAAUGGAAAGAUGCGAUCCAGCAUUAACAAAGAGAUAGGUCCUUGGGCAGGUGAUGUCGACACCGCAAGCUAAACCCUAUCAACUAUAUCUUUGUUAGAUAGCGUAGUGAGAACAAGAGCUUAGACUCAUCUUAUGGCGCAAGGUCUCUCACUAACACGCACUAGGAUCGACUACGAUGAGAUAUGCUCUCGUAAUGGAUGUCAUUGAACUCGACUAUUUUGUCAGUUUGGUAGUUUCCGAAUAACUGAACAUGCAACCUAUGAAUGUGGUCAUAAUAACAUCUCUAUGAGAUCAGAUAUAUACAUGAAGGUCUUAAACGAACUUCAUUUAUCCGAAUCAAGUGACUCCAGACCACAGGAGCACGCGUUUGCUAAAGGUAUUGAAACGCACAUGGACUUUACUUGAUUUGGAAGCGAUAUGGUGAAUUAUGUCUUUGCGUGUUCAUUCCGGAUUUACACGGACUCUUGAUGGAUCAAGAGUUGCCAAUAUGUAUCAACAUCCGAAGUUAGAAUGAAAAUGAUCUUGGGAAAACACUGUCUCGAUAAGGCACUUGAUGACUGUAUUGAUGAUGAUUUUCCAUCAAUUGGCUUAGGCUCUCUAUAACUAGUGAGGCCUACAUAUACUUCCAUGAUUAGUCAAAGUCUUUGCUCUAAAGAGAGAUUCAUUAUUUUGUCUAAAGAAAUACAACAAAUAUGUGUUAAGAGAUGAAAUUCCCAUCUAGGUACAAUAAUACUCAUAUCCAACCAUUUAUAGGUUCAAAGCAACUCUAACAUGAAGAAAGGAAACAAAAUAAAUUAACAAGCGGAAGCUAUAUAAUGAUUAUGCCUCAUCUCCAUGUACGCCCGACCUCAACUAAGCGAACCUGCAAGCUGGGCAUUUUUAAAACGAAAGGCCCAGGGCAAAACACUUAACAACGUUAGAGUGAGUGGACAAAAAUAAAUUAAUAAAAAUAUUUAUGCUUCCCCAUUUUAAUUUCCAAAGAAAAAAUACUGCAUGCGCCAGCUCAAAAGCGCUCAACUCAUAAACUGGCAAUUUCACGACUAGCUCCGGCUAGUCACCAACUACAAAUAAAAUGGAGCCUCUCAGGCUAAACUAUAUAUAAACAUAUAUUCGUAUGUAUUUACACUCGUCAGACUCCUUGUAUGAAUCCUAGAAACAAUUUAGAAAAAUAGAGAUUCAUAUAAGGCUACAACGCUGGGGUCUAACGCUCACGUUGCUCCAUAAUAAUGGUAUUUUUCCUCAUUAUGACCGAAGAGGACGGUGUAUUUAUAUACGUGUGGACUCCCUAUAUGAAAACCUAAAUAAACUAUAAAAGAAAGUAAUUUUCAUAUAGAGCUAUAACGCUCUAACACUCACGUCACGCCAUAAUGGUAUUUUACCUCAUUAUGACGGACCAAAACACGUAGGGCUAGCUAGCAUUUAUAUACAUACUAUACUCAUAAUAUCCAUAAACAUAUCCACCAAAAAUCUCAUUUUCGGGAUCGAUCUCUCCAGAGGAGGAAAAUUACCAAAUAUCCGAGAAAGAAAUAAAUCUCAGGAAAAGAAAUAAAAGAUCAACAAAUAAUUCAUCGCAUGCUUUUCAAUUAAAACAAAGGUCCACUCAUAACUCUAGGCAUAAACCUGACGAAAUCCAAAUCGCCACUCCAAUGACGUUUUCUCGAACCCUGGCACAAAUAUAUAAUUAAAAUUCCCAACUAAAAAUCCAAUAUUUAACAAAAUAGGCAAAAUUAAAUAUGAGCCGCAACCACGCUCAUCCUUGCCUAACUUCGCCUUUCCUAAAACGAAACGAUCCAACUUUAAUACCAUAAUCGGCAGCCGUAAUUACAACCUCCCCAGAACAACGACUUAAAUCCUACGGCCGGAUUCUACAUUAAUUAACCGCAAAAAAUACCAAACUUCGGAAAAUCACAAACUUAUUCAAAACUCAUCGGAAAAUUCCAUAAUUUACAUCAAUAUACUCCUCUUAAUAUUUCACAUUUAAAAACAUUAAAAUCUCCCAACCGGCGCCGGCGCCGGCCCCGCGGGCAGCGGCGGCCGGAGGCCGAUUCCGGCGACCUCCAAUGCCUACCAAAAUUUAAUAGUAGCUUCCUCUCAACCUACUCAACAACUUUCCUAACUAGCACAAACACAAAUUCCAAGUCUAGCUAGGGUAAUCGAACACAAACAUCUAAUGAGCCCUAGAGCUUCAACUUUGAAUUUCUCCUUACCUAGCUCAAGAGGGAGGGAGUCCUUUGGAGGGAUUGCUGCACGGGAGGAGGGCUUUCCAACAAGCCAAGCCGCUCCGGCUAUGGUGGCCGGAGGAGGGAGCUCCGACGAUGGAGGGCUACGACAGUCGGACUCUUCGGGCGAGCUUCCUCCCGAUCGGUGGCACUAGGGGUGCGGUCACCUACCUAGAAAUGAAGAGGAGAGGGUGGUGGUUCGAUGGGGACCAACUUGGUGGCCGGAGUUGGCCGGACGGCGGCAGGCAGUGGAGAAGAAUACCGGCGAUGGAAGAAGAAUCGGGGGAGAGAGGAGAGACAGUCGGGGAAAGAGAGAGAAAUUUAAAAUUUGGGCUUUCCAAACCGGUUCCCCAACCCACCAAUAUAACCCAAUUCCAAAAUUAGCACCCCCAAAAAUAAUACCCCAAUAAAAAUUACCUUUUACCAGCUAAAAGUUACAAUUUUUACCGCCGUCACAUUUUUCUCCUACGAAUAAUUCCUCCGAAAAUAUCGUCCCUCAAAACCCCUCUAGGGAUCAAUUAAACCAUAACUCAUUGACGGAGUCGGUAAAAUUCUUAUUAUAAUCAAGCUAGUAAAUAAGGUAAAAAUUUAAGGGUCGGGAUGUGACAAUGGUGGUCGGAGGAGGGAACUCCGGCGAAGGGGCAGCCGGUGUUUCUGACUGGUUUUCUCCUUUCCGGUAGUGCUACCGGCUCGGACACUAGGCCGGGAAGAGAGAGGAGACGGCUGGUGGCUGGUCGAACAUCGGCAACUUGUGGCAAAAAGUCCCGGCGAUAAUGUAACACCCUGACCCAGGUGUUAGAAGAAUAACCGAAUAAAAUAAAUAAGGAAAUCCUAAUUCGAAAAUGAGAUAAGAUCUCAUAAUCAGACAACACAACAAACAUUUUAAUCGCAUUUGGAACCUAAAUUUUAUUUUGUUAAUUUGCGGCUGCACCCAAAACUCGAUCGGGCUGCCUAAGUCGAUUGGGCUAUCUAAUUUGCGGCUGCACCGAAAACUCGAAAAUAAAAGAAGAAGAUGAAGAAGAAGAAGAAGAAAAAAAAAAAGUUUUUAAGUAGUUGUGUUUAUGGGUUGUCCAUUGGGAUUAAAGUGAGUGAAUUAGCGUUUGAAAGCAAAAGUCUAAUAUCUCUAUAAGAGAGAGUUGCUUCAUUGAUUUCUAUGGACUUUGUGUUCCCUUAUCCUUCAUUUCUAUUAGCCACUUGCCCUUAGCCCCAUUACAACCAAAUAAAAGACCUCUUGAUCUUGAAAGUUGUGAAGCUACCUAACGGAGAUGCGGUUGAAGAGCAAGCCUAUGGGGACCUAAUUUGCAAAAUUGUAUUCGGGUGAAACACAUUUAGCCCUAAAUACUUGAGCAGAAAUAUUUAGUGCAUCCUUGUGAGUUUAGCGGUUAAUCCAAGUUGAGUGUGUCGUACUUGCUUGUUAUGAAUUGGUAGACAUAUGGCUAGCACAUAAGCAUCUUUUACAUGUCGCACAUUAAUUGCCUUAUAAAUUUGUGAGACCUAUACAUAUGCUUAAUCAAUUCCUUGUCAUAAACAUAAUUUGGUUCUUUGAAGAUAUGGUUGGAAAGACUAGCAUUACAAUUCUCAUUUGUGUGUUUUAGGGAGUAGUUUUCGGAUUAGUUUUCAUUUAGUUUGCUUGAGGACAAGCAAAGUUCAAUUGUAGGGGUGUGAUUACUUGUAUUUUUAUACACUUAAUUACAUUCCAAACAUAUGAACUAAGCUAGUAUUCGAGCUAAUUACGAUGUAGUUAAUCCUAUUUUGUUUAUUUGUAGGAAAUAAACGGAGUAGCGGAGAUUGUUUUAAACAGAUACGAAAUUGGAGCAGAUAAUGAAGAAACGAAGAAAUUAAGGACGUCUGCCGAUUAGUAUUUGAUAUGAUCAAUUAAUGAUUUAUUGAUCAUUAGAUCAAUUAAACAUUGAAGUAAUCAUAUGCAGCCACAAUCACGUGCCAUCCACUUCUUUCUCACUCAUAACCAAUCAACAGGUGAUAUGUGGCACUUUUUCUCUCACCAUUUCUCAGCCUCUCACCCGUGAUAGAGAGGAGGCAAAACCCUUGAAUGAACUCUCAUUCAUUCUCUGGAGAAGGCAGCCGCACACAGAGGAGUAGAGAGAGAGACACACGAAGCAAAGUCCUUUCCCGUCACCAACACCAUUCAUCACCAUUUCAUCCCUUCAUCUCUUCUCUCUCUUCUCAUUUCACAAUUUAGUUAAUUUAUUUUGGGAAUGUGAAGGACUCACUCAAGACUUCAAUGCUUCUACGUCAUCAAGAGCACCUCCUCUUUAAUUGGGUAGUUGGGUGAAAGGCUUUCUUAGGUUCAUACUAGCUCAUAGCUUGAAGUGACCAAGCUAGCUCUCCCCCUCUCUUCCUUAUUGUCUAUUUCUUUAUCUUAUAUGCUAUUGACGAUGUAUUUGAUUAUGGGUAGAGAGUAGUUCAAUUUUGAGAGUUAGGGUUGUGAAGCCCUAAACUCAUUUUGUAUAAAUGUUGGUACUUUAAUUAUAAUAGAUGCAAUUUCCAUUGUGUAUGCUUUGAAAUCCUUAAUUAGAAGCAUGUUUCUAGGUUUUGUCACCCUUUGAGAUUAUGUUGUGAACAAUUUGAUGGAUAGAUUGAUAAAUUGACAAUUUAUUAGUCUUGUGCAUCUAGGAUUGGAAGUGUGGUAACCAUUAGCUAGCUUGAUUGUAGCUAAGCUUGCUUGGGUCUCUAUUAUCUUGCACUCUAGGCCUCAAAUUUGGAUGUUACGGCCUUAACCGGCGUAAUGCCCAUGUUAGAGAGUUGAUUGUGGACUUAACUGGCAUAAUCGAUACACCGAAAUGAUAAUUGGUCUAGUAACCUUAACCGGUAUUAGAUAUAGGAGUUGAUACAAUAGGAUAUGCAUUUGUGAAAUCGGUAUCGAUGUUUGCAUAUGAGUUAGUGUGGAUCACCCGACACUCCCAUGUUCCCAUAAUUUUCUAGUUCAUUAGUUAGUAGUUUAUUUUUCAUUUAGUUUUUUCGUCAAUUUAGUUAAUUCCCCAUUCAAUCUCCAUUUUUUAUUUCGACUCAUUGUAGAUAACCAUCACUAGGCUUCUAGUUUUGAUUAGGCUUUGGUGAGAACUAGAGCCGAGCAUUACUAAGGCUUGGUGCCUAGUUUAGCAUUUUCCUUAAUUUCUUUUUCUUUUCCUUUGUUUGCUUAGUGACUUUUGUUAUGAUAACUUGGCAUUUAUACUUUCCUAUCUUGACAACGAUACGUUCACUUGCGUGAAUUGUAUUUAAGUCAAUAGGGUAGGGAACUAGUGAGUAAUAGCAAAAGACCUAACUGCAUUGCCCUUAUAUAGUUAACACAGCCCCCUCCCCCUUAUGUGGGUUCCUAUGUGGACUGUAACACCUCGCGGGGUAGAAAGAGCUACAAUGGUUGUAUCCGCAUUGGAGACUGAGUAGUUUUCAAUAAGCGAAAGGUCAGUACCCGUGACCUAUGCGAAGUCUACCUGUGUAGCUAAACGCGCGUCACCUAGUUACUUAGUUGGCAAGUAACACGAAACCUUGUACAACUUUGGUAGCAGAAUCCUACUUAGAUUGUGGGAUGGUAUCCUUAUCAGUUAAUUACGAAGCACUAUAUAAAGAGGGUUCGGGGAUCAAAAUCGACACACAAUCAUCUCAUACUGACAACUACAAACCUCGAUCUAAUAGAAACCUGUCGCUAAAGCACUUCGCUUUUCGCUUUAGCAUUUCAGAGCCCUUUAAGGUCUCGCCUUGCCUAUUGUCCCAUUGGUUGCUUUGCUCGCUUACCGAGUAUCGAUCUCAAAUGAAUAGAAAGAUACUCGUAAUUCCUCGCCCGCGAGGUGACACCGGAGCCCGUCAUCGUUUGGUUAGAAGUCUACGUCAGCGCACCUCGACGCCCACAUCCCCAUUAAGCAUUAACUGCUCACAUCUCUCUCCCUGCUGAGGGUCGUGGCCAAAACAGACACGUUGAACUCAAGCUACAACCAACCCUUAGAGUCUCGGAGUCAUCAAGAGAACCAACAGCUUCCCUUCACGGAAUUGUGAUCCAUAUGAUGGUAGGUUUCUUUGAUCAAUUCCUAUCCUCCUACUAAUUAAUUUGGUUGCUGGUAAUCAAAAGUGAUCGAACUCCCCCCCCUCCCCCCCCCCCAAAAAAAAACCUUCCCUACCACUAUUGCAAGAAAAUAUCAGAAAAAUUCUGGUUUCUCCCAAAGUGUCCUAGACUUCUAGAGAGACACCUCCUUUUAUGAGUCGAUGAAAGAAAUAGAAUUGGAGAAGUCGGCCUGGUCCUCUCUAGAAACCUCUCCAAUAUAUUCUUGUUCGAGCUCUACACCGUCAUUCCAGACUAAAGAAAGGUCGAUGGUCUAGAAAGCUCUAAUGAUCUCUACCCCCCAGCUCCCGUUGAUAUCUAAUCAAGCAUAUUGAUUGCCUAGACAGAAAUAGGUUUUCAAUGACUGGGAUGAAGCGGUGGUAAUUUCCUUUCCAUUAGAUAAAAUCCUAAAAUUUCUUAAAUUUCGUAAUAAUUAGCUCUGGUAUCUGAUAUCUUCUACGGAAAUACUACAGACUUGUAACAUCGUGUAGUUCGCUAUCGAAUCCUUAAAUCGAGGAUCACCUUGGUGAGAAUUAUAAAAACAUUCACAAGCGUUUUAUUACCCACUAAGGUCCAAAAUUAUAUUUCGAUGAACCUCACUUCAACUUGUCAGGUAUUUCCUAGGCUCACACGAAAGAUAACACAAGAUCGACUAAUAAAUAAUUUAUCAAAUAGACAAAUAGCUAUAAUUAAUAACUUUUAUAAUAAUAUUAUCCGAUUUCCGAGGCUCACACAUAUAUAAAUAUUUAAUUAACUUUUAAAUUAAUUGUAAAACAAGUCAAUCAAAAAUUAAAAAUAAGCCAUGAGAUAUAUCUUAAAUAUAAGAAUAUGAAGAUAAGAAGCAACUCUUCUUACAGUUAGGAUAAUUAUGUUGCUUGAGUUCUAUUUGAGCCACCCAAGUUUGACACAAAAAAAACUUAAGAAUCCUAAAAUAUACAUUUUCUCUAUUUUCUCAAGUUGGGUUGUUUACACUACUAGAAGAAAGGCUUUAGCCGAUGAAAAUAAAAAAACCAGGCCGACGAAUUAUUUUUUCGUCGGCUAAAGUCCACGUUAGCCGACGAAAUUUUCUUUCGUCGACUAAUUUAAAUUUUCGUUGGCUAAAGAAUUUUUUUCAUCGGCAGGCUGACCAAAAAUUAAUAACGUACCAAUGAUGACAUCUGGAGAAGUACGACCCUCCUGCUGGGUCAUAGCAUGCAGUCUAGCGCGAGUCAUGGGACGUCCACGCUGACCACUUCCCCGCUGAGAGCCACCUCUGACCGAAGCACUGCCCUGGGCACCACUACUAGAGCCUCCAGCUGAAGACUGACCAACAGGCUGAGUAGGGGUGGGAGUGGUCCUCUGAACCAACAAUGGGCAAUCUCUCCUAAAGUGGUCCUGACCACCACACUCAAAGCACCCAGAAAACUGCUGCUGCUGCCCAUAUGAAAAAGUCUGGCUACCGGAUGACCCACCAUGGAAACUGCCACCUGAACCAUACUGCCCAGCCUGCUGCCUACCCAACUGGCUCCUAGCAGGUCUCCUGUGACGUCCUCUAACCCUGAACCGAGAAUGAGAACCUGAUCCCCCACUACUGCCACUACCAGCUGAUGAACCUGAAGCGGAUGAUGAAGCAGCUUUCUUGGAUGGACCCUGACUGGGACCACCGAAAUCUCGUGGCCGAGCACUAUAAAUCCCCAUAGACUCAAUGGCCAUGGCUGCAUGAACAGNNNNNNNNNNNNNNNNNNNNCAAACCACAUAUCAACAUGAUCGUAUCAACGAGUACUACCUAACCACCAACACAAACACCACAACCACCUACGGACGCACCGCUACGCGCUGCCCCUAGCGACUGCGCGUGGGCCCCACGCGCCACCCCACUAACCUUCGAAAACAGACAAACUUCCAACACCAAAAGUAUAGCUCAGAGCAAGGAGAGCAACUUCCAUACCUGAGGUCGAAACCAAAACGGCCGGGAAGUCGCCGGAAACUCGCCGGGAAUGUCGAAUUUCACCACAAACCCGACCGGUGCCGUUGUCUGGGUCGGCCGGAGUUGGCCGGAAAAGUCGGGUCGGGUUGCCGGGUCCGGGUCGGGUCGGCUGGGAAACUCUGACAGUGAAGGUGUCGAGAGAGAGAGAAAGAAAAAGGAGGAGGAAAGGUUUCCGGAAAAAAUGAAAGGAAACUCUAAACUUUUGAUAUUUAACCCAAAAUUUUCGUAAAGCCACGAACUUCCGCUGACCAUAACUUCCACAUACGAAGUCCGUUUUACGUGUGCCACGUGUCUACGAACUCGUAUCGUCGUGCUCUACAGCUUCCGUGCAGGAAGUUUUCCGAGAAACCCAACAAAUUAAAAAGUCAACUCUUGACCCUUCAAAAUAAAGCAUUUUCACGGAAAUAAAAACUCGACUACUUCUAGUCCACUCACUAAACCACAAAACCAUACAACUCUUACUUAAAUAAAUUCCAAAAUAAAAUUAGAAACUAACAAUAAAUUUCCGGGGUAUUACAACUCACCUUGAUGAGGGCUACAAGAUGAGCCAAAGAUUCCGACCUAUGGUGGCCGGAGGUGGGAUUUCUGGCAAAAAGCUUCCCGGCGUCUCCGGCGAGUUUUCUCCUCUUCCGGCGGGCUAACGACUCGGGGGCUAGGCCGGGGAGAGAGAGGAGGUGAUGGGGGUCAAAACUGGGGUGGGCUGGCAGCUGGUGGCUGGCCGGACGGUGGCAGACCACGCUGGAAAAGUCCAGCAGAAAAGAGAGCUAGGAAACUCACGGGAGAAAAGAGAGAGAAGGAAGAGGAGAAGAGAGAAAAUGAGGGGGGGUCUUGGGCUGCUCCUCAGCUGGCCCAGCAAUAACCCAACUGAAAAAAAUUUACACCAACUACAUUUUUUUACCACAUUUUUACCAUCUCCAAAAAUUACUCUUUUAAAUCAUAACUUUUUCAUGCUGAUUCCGAUUUUAACACAUAGCAUGUCUACGAACUCGUAAUAACGUCCUCUACGACUUUUAUGAAGAAAUUUUUCCCAAAUUCCAAACACAAGAAAAAGUCAACUCUAGGGUCCUUAAGUGAUAAACGGUUACUUAACACGGUAAAAGACCAAAAUAAUACCAAAGUAAAUAACCGUAAAAUAACUUAAGAACCGGGGUGUGACACCUUGUACGAAAGACUCCUUUCGCACUGGGCAGAACAAGAAGCCUAUGACAAGGUCGCAACUAUGGAAUAUGUAGACGAAUUAGUGGAUUAUACCGAUACCAAGGAAGAAGUCAUUCAAUUAGCUCCCGCUGCCUUGGACGAUACACCACCUCAAGUCCGCGACCCCAUUUCACAAGUUGAAGUAGGGACUACAAAAAAGCCCUUACUUAUUUCCAUUAGUGCUAAGCUGGCGAAAAACGAAAAGGAAGACCUUCUUGCCCUGUUACGAGAGUACAAGGAUUGCUUCGCCGAAAAGUACGAGGAUAUGUCUGGCUUAUCCCCAGAUUUGGUCUGCCACCGGUUGCAACUCAUCCAAACCGACGUCCGGUGCGGCAAGACGGCCGAUUCAUGUGAACUGAGACUCAUAUCGUAGUCAAAGAAGAGAUCGACAACAUGCACCGAGCACGUAUCAUUCGCGUGGUGAAGUAUAACGAGUGGUUAUCCAACGUUGUCCCCGUUCGCAUGAAAAAUGGCAAGAUGCGCGUCUGUGUUGAUUACCGUGACCUCAACAACGCAACGCCCAAGGAUAUAUACCCCAUGCCUAUCGCUGACCUCCUCAUUGACGCAGCCGUGGGGCAUGAAGUGUUGUCCUUCAUGGACGGAACGGCCGGAUACCACUAGAUCCCCGUUGCUGAAGAAGAUCGACACGAGACGGCUUUCCGCUGUCCCGAUUUUGCCGGCGCGUUCGAGUAUGUUGUCAUGC
rnacentral:lncRNA from 1 species